UACGUAGGGGGCAAGCGUUAUCCGGAUUUACUGGGUGUAAAGGGAGCGUAGACGGCUUUGCAAGCCAGAUGUGAAAGCCCGGGGCUCAACCCCGGGACUGCAUUUGGAACUGUGUGGCUAGAGUGUCGGAGAGGCAGGCGGAAUUCCUAGUGUAGCGGUGAAAUGCGUAGAUAUUAGGAGGAACACCAGUGGCGAAGGCGGCCUGCUGGACGAUGACUAACGUUGAGGCUCGAAAGCGUGGGGAGCAAACAGG
rnacentral:rRNA from 1 species